rnacentral:rRNA from 1 species
UACAGAGGUCCCAAGCGUUGUUCGGAUUCACUGGGCGUAAAGGGUGCGUAGGCGGUCGGGUAAGUCUGAUGUGAAAUCUCACAGCUUAACUGUGAAACUGCAUUGGAUACUAUCCGGCUCGAGGAAUGGAGGGGAGACUGGAAUACUUGGUGUAGCAGUGAAAUGCGUAGAUAUCAAGUGGAACACCAGUGGCGAAGGCGGCCUUCUGGCUCGCAACUGACGCUGUAGCGCGAAAGCGUGGGGAGCAAACAGG